GGCAGGAGGUCCAAAUGCUACCCUCCCAUAGGGCGACAAGUUCUUUAUUAGUGGAAAUCACUCACGGGUUGGUCUGCUUUUAUACAGUGAAGAGAAUUGGGUCAGUGCAAAAUGGUGUCUCAAACAGCUGAUCUUUUGAAAAAUGAGCUUCCUCUUGAGCUGGAGGCUGUGGUUUUGCCUGAGGAUGGUGUGACCGGCCUUGUUCUUGUGGAUAUCAUCAAUGGAUUUUGCACUGUUGGUGCUGGAAAUCUGGCUCCAAGAGAACCCAACAGGCAGAUUUCAGGAAUGAUCAAUGAAUCAGCAACGUUGGCCAGGGAAUUUUGUGAGAAGAAUUGGCCUGUUCUCGCAUUUCUUGAUUCCCAUCAUCCUAACAAGCCUGAGGAACCUUACCCUCCUCACUGUAUUUCAGGCACCGAUGAAUCAAACUUAGUUCCUG
rnacentral:misc_RNA from 1 species